rnacentral:rRNA from 1 species
UGGCAGACGGGUGAGUAACGCGUGGUCAACCUACCCUAGAGUGGGGGAUAACUAGCCGAAAGGUUAGCUAAUACCGCAUGAAACAUGCCGGGGCAUCUCGGAAUGUUAAAAGGAGCAAUCCGCUCGAGGACGGGACCGCGUCCCAUUAGCUAGUUGGUGGGGUAACGGCCUACCAAGGCACCGAUGGGUAGCUGGUUUGAGAGAGCGACCAGCCACACUGGGACUGAGAAACGGCCCAG